UACGGGGGGGGCAAGCGUUAGGCGGAAUCACUGGGCUUAAAGCGUGUGUAGGCGGAUGUCUAAGUACCUUGUGAAAUCCCACGGCUCAACCGUGGAACUGCUGGGUAUACUGGAUGUCUUGAGCCAGCUAGGGGCUACCGGAACAAAUGGUGGAGCGGUGAAAUGCGUAGAUAUCAUUUGGAACGCCAAUGGUGAAAACAGGUAGCUGGGGCUGUGCUGACGCUGAGACACGAAAGCGUGGGGAGCAAACAGG
rnacentral:rRNA from 1 species